UACAGAGGUCUCAAGCGUUGUUCGGAAUUACUGGGCGUAAAGGGUGCGCAGGCCGCGCGGGCAGUCAAAUGUGUAAUCCAGGGGCUCAACCCCUGAACUGCGCUUGAUACUUCCGCGUUCGAGCUUUGGAGAGGAGUCUGGAAUUCUCGGUGUAGCAGUGAAAUGCGUGGAUAUCGAGAAGAACACUUAGGGCGUAGGCAAGACUCUGGACAAAUGCUGACGCUCAUGCACGAAGGCUAGGGUAGCGAACGGG
rnacentral:rRNA from 1 species